rnacentral:rRNA from 1 species
UACGGGAGGCAGCAGUGAGGAAUAUUGGGCAAUGGAGGNNACUCUGACCCAGCCAUGCCGCGUGCAGGAAGACGGCCCUAUGGGUUGUAAACUGCUUUUAUAUANCAAGAAACCCCAUCACGUGUGAUGGCUUGACGGUAGUAUAUGAAUAAGGNCCGGCUAACUCCGUGCCAGCAGCCGCGGUAAUACGGAGGGUCCGAGCGUUAUCCGGAUUUAUUGGGUUUAAAGGGUGCGCAGGCGGUAUAAUAAGUCAGUGGUGAAAUCCCGAGGCUCAACCUNGGAACUGCCAUUGAUACUGUUAUUCUUGAGUAUAGACGAAGUAGGCGGAAUGUAGCAUGUAGCGGUGAAAUGCUUAGAUAUGAUACAGAACACCGAUUGCGAAGGCAGCUUACUAGACUAUUACUGACGCUAAUGCACGAAAGCGUGGGGAGCGAACAGGAUUAGAUACCCUGGUAGUCCACGCCGUAAACUAUGAUUACUCGAUGUUGGCGAUACACNNUCAGUGUCNAAGCGANCNCNNNAAGU